CGGGAAAUAGCUCAGUUUGGUAGAGCACUUGCUUCGGGAGUAAGGGGUCGCAGGUUCAAAUCCUGUUUUCCCGA
rnacentral:tRNA from 10 species